GUGCCAGCCCCGCGGUAAUACCGGCAGCCCGAGUGAUGGCCGCUCUUAUUGGGCCUAAAGCGUCCGUAGCUGGCCGCGCAAGUCCAUCGGGAAAUCCACCCGCCCAACGGGUGGCCGUCCGGUGGAAACUACACGGCUUGGGACCGGAAGGCUCAUAGAGUACGUCCGGGGUAGGAGUGAAAUCCCGUAAUCCCGGACGGACUACCGAUGGCGAAAGCACUCUGAGAAGACGGCUUCGACAGUGAGGGACGAAAGCUCGGGUCUCAAACCGGAUUAGAUACCCUGGUAGUCC
rnacentral:rRNA from 1 species